rnacentral:rRNA from 1 species
UACGUAGGGUGCGAGCGUUAAUCGGAAUUACUGGGCGUAAAGCGUGCGCAGGCGGUUGGCCGUGUCCGAUGUGAAAGCCCCGGGCUUAACCUGGGAAUGGCAUUGGAAACUGGCUGGCUGGAGUGUGGCAGAGGGGGGUGGAAUUCCACGUGUAGCAGUGAAAUGCGUAGAGAUGUGGAGGAACACCGAUGGCGAAGGCAGCCCCCUGGGCCAACACUGACGCUCAGGCACGAAAGCGUGGGGAGCAAACAGG